CUGAAGACAUGCUAUCGAUGAAAAUAGUUUCAUGCUACAAGGACCUUCUGCUAAAUCAUGCUAUUUUUUAAACAUGUUUAUUACAUUGUGAAAUAAUAGUCUGAGAAAAGGGAAAUUGCAUAAUAUGAAUAGGUUACUAUAGGCUUGAGCAAUCACAUUGAAAAUAUGGCCACUAUGAUGUGAGAGAGUAAAGUUGGCAUGGUUGUAUUUUUUUGGCAAUGGGUUUGGAAAAAGAAAAUAUUUGUGUGACAUGAAUAGGUUACUAUAGGCUUGAGCAAUCACAUAGGACACGAAUUGUAACUAUUUUUUUAAAAAAAGAAUAGACUUGUCCUUCAAAAUAUAUACUUGAGCAUGCAUAAUCUGUUAUGUUAUUCAGGAACAUGGAGGCAUAAGUUUUUUUUAAAAAUACAAACAAAGAAUGAAAUGUAAAUAGUUGCUUAAUGUAAUUAUGCAACAAAUUAGAACAUCGGUGGGUCAAAUAACUGAGCCUGCAAUUAGAAAGUCCAAAUAGCUUACGCUAAAAAUAAGGUAAACAUAGGCGACACAGUAAAAAAGAAGGUAAACAUACGUGAUACAAUAAAGCCUGGUUUGAUGAACUCUAUCGCACACUUUGUGAUGUUUGAUGAAUAAAGCUACCCCUCAAAAAAAAUGACACAAUAAAAUGUACUUAAUACAUGAUAAACAUUUCUUAGAAAUAGUGGUCAAUUACAUCAUAUAAUUUGGUUCUGUACAAAAAAAGUUUCCUCUUUUGUGUAUAUAUCCUAAACACCACCCCUUGCGAUGAACUCUUUGUCUUUGUCCACAAAUUUGGUUAUUCCCCAUCCAGCAUGUCAGUUGCAGUCUCCUGAAGCAUAGGAACAACAUAAGUUAAAACAAUCUGGUCAAACAUACACUAAGAAUAUACUCAUGGGCAUUAUCGACAGAUUAAACCAAAGUUAGAGUGCAGCAGGUUCUCUGUAAAGUCAAGUUACCAUGCGGUUUUUACGAACCAAUGGAGAAAAGCCGAAACACUGAUCCAAGGUUCUACCUAUUCCACUGUAGUAUAUCUCCAAUACCUUUUGCCCCUAUCAAUUUCCUAUCCAAUUGAAAUUGGUAUCCAGAUAGAAGAAGAGAAAGAAAUUGGCACCGCUAGUAAAGAAAAUGGUCGAUCAUGUGGAAGAUCACAUCAGCCCCAUCAGAGUUCAAGAAAUACGUCUUCACCUGCGACACGAAAGAAAUGAGAAAGAAUCAUUCAGUUUUUUCAAACGAUGACAACUUGGUAAAUUCACUUCAUCAACACACUUAUCAACUGUAUCUCAUUUCAGUUUUGG
rnacentral:lncRNA from 1 species